AAAAAAAACAAAAAACAAAAAACAGGUUACCUGAGUAGGUUUUGGUGGCAGCCUGUGUAUUUGUCACAUCUAAGGCUCAUUAUUUACUGAAGUAUCUGUAUGAACAUGAUCUAGUUUGCACUUGUGAGUGGUGGUGGUACAGGAGGCAUAUACGAGGAUUUAAUUGUUGGUAAUUAUAGUGAGAACAGAGGGGACUUGAAAUUGCUGAAUUGUCUUAUGCCUGGAGGACUCUGGAAGCACUGUGUGGCUUGCAGAUAUCGAGAUUGCACGUGUAGAUCUUAGGGUUACAGCUUUCUCCCGACUGUGAAGUCCCUAUUCUUCCUUGCAAUAAUCUUUUUGCAUAAGUGUCUUCUUGUGUUACCAAAUAACAGUGGUCAUCAGGAAAAUAUAGAUAUUAGAAACAAACUGUACUUGUCAGAAAAAUAUUUUAUACUAUCAUAUACAAUUUAACUAGAAGUUUAUUGAUGAAUUUGAUUUAUUUUCCUGGAGUUAACUAUUGCCAGAUGGUACAUACUCUUUGAAUAUGAUUGAUGAGCCAGGGAAGCCUCUUGCUAGCAGCUCUUGCUUCUGCUCACUACAUACA
rnacentral:lncRNA from 1 species